rfam:Canis lupus familiaris chromosome X, whole genome shotgun sequence.
ACCUGAGUGGCUCAGUGGUUGAGCACCUGCUUUUGGCUCAGGUCGUGAUCCCCGAGUCCUGGGAUCGAGUCCCACAUCAGGCU